rnacentral:rRNA from 1 species
UACGAAGGGGGCUAGCGUUGUUCGGAAUCACUGGGCGUAAAGCGCACGUAGGCGGAUUGUUAAGUCAGGUGUGAAAUCCUGGAGCUCAACUCCAGAACUGCCUUUGAUACUGGCGAUCUCGAGUCCGGGAGAGGUGAGUGGAACUGCGAGUGUAGAGGUGAAAUUCGUAGAUAUUAGCAAGAACACCAGUGGCGAAGGCGGCUCACUGGCCCGGUACUGACGCUGAGGUGCGAAAGCGUGGGGAGCAAACAGG